GUCCAGGACCUCAGUAGCCCUGAAAAAUCUGGCUAGGUUUUCAGAACUGAAAGACCCGAGGAGUGGGGAGACCCUCACUCAAGUCUCAGGAUGAUGCGACCCCCCAAGAACUCACACAAGACC
rnacentral:pre_miRNA from 14 species